CAUGCGCGUUGAAGAACCCGGAAGUGGGCUCCCCAACAGAGCAUCCAUGAGAGCAGCUCUGACGGUUUUUCACAGAAACAGCGCUGAUAAGAAAAGAUGCAGCUUCACUUCACUAAAGACGUUUUAUCGGAUUCUGUCAGCACCGACUUUCAGAACCUGAACAAAUUCAACGAGCAGCAAUUCCUUCGUCUGAUUGAAAUUCUGUUCCAGUUCUUGCUGGAGCCUAAAGAGACGGAGAGGUUCAUGCAGCAGCUCGGUGAGUUUGCAGGGGAACACGGGAUGAGUGCCAGUCCUCUGAGGAACCUGAUGAAGAGCGUCCUCCUGGUGCCGCAGGGAGCCCUGAAGAAAAACCUGACAGCCGAGCAGAUCAAAGAAGACCUGGUGACGUUAGGACUAAACGAAGACAAGGCGGCUCACUUUUCACAGCAGUGGGGGGAGCACUAUGCGGCGCUGUCCAGGCUCGCUGUCGGACAGACUCUGAUGGUCAACCAGCUGGUUGACAUGGAGUGGAAGUUUGGAGUGACGGUCGGCACCAGUGAAGUACAGAAAGUGGGCAACAUCUUCCUGCAGUUGAAACUUGUGGUCAGGAAGGGGAAUUCCACUGAAAACGUCUACAUGGGAGCCUCCUGCCUAACUGGAUCUCACGCUGUCACGUCCAGAUGAGUGCAGCAGCAUGAAUGAAGCAUUUGAACAAAGAAGUGCAGUAGUGCUUCUUUUAUUCUGUGUUGCAAAGUUGACGCUCCCUCAGUUUUAUAACUUCCUACACGAGAUGGAGAGAGCCAAGGCCAGCAUGGAGUGUUUCAGCUGAGUGUGUGUGUGUGUGUGUGUGUGUGUGUGUGAGUGUGUGUGUGUGUGUGUGUGUGUGUGUGUGUGUGUGUGUGUGUGUGUGUUCAUGUCAGGCUGUAGCUGCAGGGCAGUGUGUGGUAUGUAUUAUGUCAUUUUGUGGCACUGACGACCCCCCAGUGACUGAAGCUAAACACAAAAACAAAUUUUAUUUACUGCCAGACAUUUAUACUCAAAUCUGCCAAUAAACAUGUAUAUAAACAAAACAAUCACUUUGAUUUAUGUGGGAAUAAAGCAACACUCCUGUCAA